rnacentral:ncRNA from 2 species
UUAAUACCCCACUCUACGGGUGCCCGGAAGGGUUAAAAGGGAAGCCGGACGGAAUUUCCGUAAACGGCGCGGGCCCGCCACUGUACUCGGGGAGCCUCUUUUAGAGAUGCCACUGUCCGUUAAAUCGGAUGGGAAGGCUAAAAGAGGCGAUGAGCCGUAAGCCAGGAAACCUGCCCGUGAGAGUUAAUCUGU